UGGGGAAUAUUGGACAAUGGGCGAAAGCCUGAUCCAGCCAUGCCGCGUGGGUGAAGAAGGUCUUCGGAUUGUAAAGCACUUUAAGUUGGGAGGAAGGGCAGUAAGCGAAUACGUUUCUGUUUUGACGUUACCGACAGAAUAACCACCGGCUAACUCGGUGCCAGCAGCCGCGGUAAUACAGGGGGUGCAAGCGUUAAUCGGAAUUACUGGGCGUAAAGCGCGCGUAGGGGGUUCGUUAAGUUGAAUGUGAAAGCCCCGGGCUCAACCUGGGAACUGCAUCCAAAACUGGCGAGUUAGAGUAGGGCAGAGGGUGGUGGAAUUUCCUGUGUAGCGGUGAAAUGCGUAGAUAUAGGAAGGAACACCAGUGGCGAAGGCGACCACCUGGGCUCAUACUGACACUGAGGUGCGAAAGCGUGGGGAGCAAACAGG
rnacentral:rRNA from 1 species